CUUACAGUAAUCCCUUUCUGAGGAUGUAAGCAUUGAAAAGUUUGGAAUCUAUGGUUAUUUUUUAGAAAAAAAUGAUAUGAAGAGGAGGGUUGACUGUUAUGUGGCAUUCCCAUCAGUACGAUACAGGAAAAUUUCUAAACCAUAUCAAUUUUUUUAUUAAUGGAUUGAUUUACUUGACUGGAUCUUGGGACAGUUUUUUGAAUGGAAAAACUUGCAUGUCAGUGGUUUUCAUGGCAACAUACUUAUUUAUUAGUAUUGUGAAUUUUGUUUUACACAUGUAUGUCAGUUGGUGGCUCCAAGUAGUGUAUAUAGAUAUAUUUUUUAGAUGUUCACAGCUCUCCUCUCAGUACAUUCCCCAUUGCAUACUAUGGCAGUAAACUGUUGUAUACUAUGCCUAUUGUCAGAGUUCAGUUGACAGUUAACUGAACUUAGCGCUUAUAGUUUAUCACUGAAGACAGCUUCUCUUGCCAUUUGAGGAGGCUGUUUCAUCUUCCAAGGCCAAGCAAGAGAUCUGUGGUAGCUGGUCAGCUGCUAAAAACAUUAAAGGGAUGUGUCAUGAUUAACACAUUUCAAAGGAGAGAAGAUUGUAAUUAAUGAUUGAUGACCAUUGAGUGCUGAAUAUUAGAAUUCAUUAAAGAAAUAUUAAAUUCCAGGGAUGUGAUCAUAGAAAUGAUGGUUUUCCUUAUAUGUUCUGCUUAAUAAGUCAACCUAACAUUGAGUAGUUCACCCACCUGUACUUUGGGAUUCUGCACUGUGACUUCCUGUCGUGGGCGUGU